rnacentral:rRNA from 1 species
CCCUUAGAUGUUCUGGGCCGCACGCGCGCUACACUGACGGAGUCAACGAGUUGUCCUGCAUCGGAAGGUGUGGGUAAUCUUUUGAAACUUCGUCGUGCUGGGGAUAGAUCUUUGCAAUUUUCGAUCUUGAACGAGGAAUUCCUAGUAAGCGUGAUUCAUCAGAUCGCGUUGAUUACGUCCCUGCCCUUUGUACACACCGCCCGUCGCUACUACCGAUUGAAUGGUUUAGCGAGGCCUCGGGACUGGCGCGCUCGAGUAGCAAUACACCUGCGCGCCGGGAACUUGGUCAAACUUGAUCAUUUAGAGGAAGUAAAAGUCGUAACA